GUCCCUCGUGACCUCUGCCGAGGAUGUGACGGUGCCGAAACCACGGUCUCGGCGUUUGUCUCUGUCUCCAUGGCGGUCUCGACCCAAGCUUGAGGCAGAGGAGGAAGAGAAUAUGGCUCAGAAGAUAAGCAUCAAGACACCAGAAGAGUCAUGAAAAUCUUUACCAGAAACCUCAGGCUCCAGUUGGUCGCAGAACUAACUCUCUCGCUCUCCCUCGCAGCUCCGUUCCGUCCCUCGUGACCUCUGCCGAGGAUGUGACGGUACCGAAACCACGGUCUCGGCGUUUGUCUCUGUCUCCAUGGCGGUCGAGACCCAAGCUUGAGGCAGAGGAGGAAGAGAAUAUGACUCAGAAGAUAAGCAUCAAGACACCAGAAGAGUCUUCAUUGGUGGGAUCCAAAGCCAAGGAAGAGAGAAAAGGGAUAUGGAACUGGAAACCCAUUCGCGGGCUGGCCCGAAUCGGAA
rnacentral:lncRNA from 1 species